rnacentral:tRNA from 1 species
CGGGAUGUGGCGCAGUUGGUAGCGCGCUACGUUCGGGACGUAGAGGUCGCAGGUUCGAAUCUUGUCAUCCCGA